AUUCUACUCCCUCCGUUCCACAAUACAUGCCUUCUAUUUGUCAAAAUAUAGAUGUAUCUAGACAUGUUUUAGUAUAUAGGUACAUCCAUUUUUGGACAAAUGGAAGUUAAGUAUUUUGGAACGGAGGGAGUACACA
rnacentral:pre_miRNA from 1 species